UUCCUACAUCACCCCUGACACUUGCCUUAGGCUUAUGCUCAAUCAGUGAACGAUGCACAAGCCUUGCCCAAACCACAAAAAAAAAAACCACCAGCCAAACCUAAACUUCCCUUGCCCUAAGCUAUUGACACUUGACGCCCACUUUGAAAUUUAAACACUAAUCCCUGAUAUCAAGCCCUCACCACUUCUAUCUCUCCCUCUUCUUGCUAUCUCACAUAACUCGAGCCUCAGCAGCCACACCGACAAUGAGACAGAAGAGAUCUGCCCAAAAAACUAGUGGCCUUUGGCCAUUCACGCAUCUUUGCAUCGCGAGAACAUCACAAUAAGCCCCACCAGCCACACCUGCUCUGACAAUAGAUGCAAGCAGCACUACUAGUGGCAACCUUGCUCCUUGAAGCCUCGUAAUCAACAUCUCUGACUCUCCACCAUCCACACCACUACUCUCGAUGUUGGAAUAG
rnacentral:lncRNA from 1 species